CUGGGCUUAAAGAGUUCGUAGGUGGUUGAAAAAGUUAGUGGUGAAAUCCCAGAGCUUAACUCUGGAACUGCCAUUAAAACUUUUCAGCUAGAGUAUGAUAGAGGAAAGCAGAAUUUCUAGUGUAGAGGUGAAAUUCGUAGAUAUUAGAAAGAAUACCAAUUGCGAAGGCAGCUUUCUGGAUCAUUACUGACACUGAGGAACGAAAGCAUGGGUAGCGAAGAGGAUUAGAUACCCUCGUAGUCCAUGCCGUAAACGAUGUGUGUUAGACGUUGGAAAUUUAUUUUCAGUGUCGCAGCGAAAGCGAUAAACACACCGCCUGGGGAGUACGACCACAAGGUUAAAACUCAAAUGAAUUGACGGGGACCCGCACAAGUAGUGGAGCAUGUGGUUUAAUUCGAAGAUACGCGCAGAACCUUACCAACACUUGACAUGUUCGUCGCGACUCUAAGAGAUUAGAGUUUUCGGUUCGGCCGGACGAAACACAGGUGCUGCAUGGCUGUCGUCAGCUCGUGUCGUGAGAUGUUGGGUUAAGUCCCGCAACGAGCGCAACCCUCACUUUUAGUUGCCAUCAUUAAGUUGGGCACUCUGAAAGAACUGCCAGUGAUAAGCUGGAGGAAGGUGGGGAUGACGUCAAGUCCUCAUGGCCCUUACGUGUUGGGCUACACACGUGCUACAAUGGUAUCUACAACAGGAAGCAAGACUGCGAGGUCAAGCAAAUCCUUAAAAGAUACCUCAGUUCGGAUUGCACUCUGCAACUCGAGUGCAUGAAGCUGGAAUUACUAGUAAUCGUGGAUCAGCGUGCCACGGUGAAUGCGUUCCCGGGUCUUGUACACACCGCCCGUCACACCAUGG
rnacentral:rRNA from 1 species